CGUUGGGACACCUCUCCCCAACGAGAGGCUGCGAUCUGGAAGGACGCGUCA
rfam:Proteobacteria bacterium SG_bin8 1341, whole genome shotgun sequence.